rnacentral:lncRNA from 1 species
AUUCCUGCUGCUGCUUGUACUCCUUUGGCAGUUUCCUUGGCGUUAUGCUGAGUCCUUUACUCUUAUUUCCUCUGCUACCAAGACUGAGAAUAAAGCACCUAGCUAAUUGUGGACCUGAUGCCAAAGUGGUACCAUUUCCUCCAUAGUAAAUGGGGAGCAAUCACCUUACCUUCGUCGUCAUUCAUCCUGCCAUUAAACCUGGCUCUCAUUCAUCGGCGUGAUGAUCAGAGCCUGAGCCCG